CUUAUUAUGAAACCCAUCUGACUGUGAGUAGAGCAUUACAAGCUUCUGAACAAACUGCUUUGGUGCAUUUGAAGAUACCAAGCUAGACUGGGUGUAUUUGCAUGACACUGCAAUUCCUUCUGUGACUGCAACAUCAACAUACUGAGUGAGGGGAGCACAUAUCCAUUUCCAUGAAGGAUGCAGGAGGAUAUAUGUGUAAACCAGAAUUGAAGCGUUUUAAAUAAGCAAGCUUCUUGUCACCACAAUUAGUACUGGCACUGCAGAAAGUAACAGCAGAAACUGAUGCACGCUCACAAAGACACAAAUCCUCAGCCAUUAUUCAGUAAACAAAAGCAAUGACGUAGCUGCCCUAUGUGGCAGGCCAGGGCACUUAAUCAAAACAGCCCUCAAGAAAAAAAGAGCAAAUCAUAAUCAUCUCCUGAGGGUCACUCAGGGUUUCCUGCAAGGCACACAUGGCUAUUGGUUAAUCCAUGUGCCACUUUGGAGACAGCUCAGGAAGUCCAGGAGGGUGACUGGCAGGUCUGGGGGGAUGGACCAGCUGAAUCAUUGGUCAUGGUCCAGUGUGAGGGCACAGUGACACACAGCCCAUAUCCUGGGGGAAAACAAUGGCACUGCAGCCUCAGAAAGUCCUGACCACCAUUCACAGAUGUUUCAGACUCAAGCUGUCCUCUCCAUAUCCAUGCAACACCAU